rnacentral:rRNA from 1 species
UGUCUAGUAUAAGCAUCUAUACGGUGAACUGCGAAUGGCUCAUUAAAUCAGUUAUCGUUUAUUUGAUAGUACCUUACUACUUGGAUAACCGUGGUAAUUCUAGAGCUAAUACAUGCUAAAAACCUCGACUUCGGAAGGGGUGUAUUUAUUAGAUAAAAAACCAAUGCCCUUCGGGGCUCCCUGGUGAUUCAUAAUAACUUAACGAAUCGCAUGGCCUUGUGCCGGCGAUGGUUCAUUCAAAUUUCUGCCCUAUCAACUUUCGAUGGUAGGAUAGUGGCCUACCAUGGUUUCAACGGGUAACGGGGAAUUAGGGUUCUAUUCCGGAGAGGGAGCCUGAGAAACGGCUGCCACAUCCAAGGAAGGCAGCAGGCGCGCAAAUUACCCAAUCCCGACACGGGGAGGUAGUGACAAUAAAUACUGAUACAGGGCUCUUUUGGGUCUUGUAAUUGGAAUGAGUACAAUUUAAAUCCCUUAACGAGGAACAAUUGGAGGGCAAGUCUGGUGCCAGCAGCCGCGGUAAUUCCAGCUCCAAUAGCGUAUAUUAAAGUUGUUGCAGUUAAAAAGCUCGUAGUUGAACCUUGAGCCUGGCUGGCCGGUCCGCCUCACCGCGUGCACUGGUCCGGCCGGGUUUUUCCUUCUGGGGAGCCGCAUGCCCUUCACUGGGUGUGUCGGGGAACCAGGACUUUUACUUUGAAAAAAUUAGAGUGUUCAAAGCAGGCCUAUGCUCGAAUACAUUAGCAUGGAAUAAUAGAAUAGGACGUGUGGUUCUAUUUUGUUGGUUUCUAGGACCGCCGUAAUGAUUAAUAGGGAUAGUCGGGGGCAUCAGUAUUCAAUUGUCAGAGGUGAAAUUCUUGGAUUUAUUGAAGACUAACUACUGCGAAAGCAUUUGCCAAGGAUGUUUUCAUUAAUCAGUGAACGAAAGUUAGGGGAUCGAAGACGAUCAGAUACCGUCGUAGUCUUAACCAUUAACUAUGCCCGACUAGGGAUCGGGCGAUGUUA